rnacentral:rRNA from 1 species
UGCAAGCCGAGCGGUAUUUGUUCUUCGGAACAGAGAGAGCGGCGUACGGGUGCGUAACACGUGUGCAACCUGCCUUUAUCUGGGGGAUAGCCUUUCGAAAGGAAGAUUAAUACCCCAUAAUAUAUUUUACGGCAUCGUAAGAUAUUGAAAACUCCGGUGGAUAGAGAUGGGCACGCGCAAGAUUAGUUAGUUGGUGAGGUAACGGCUCACCAAGACGAUGAUCUUUAGGGGGCCUGAGAGGGUGAUCCCCCACACUGGUACUGAGACACGGACCAGACUCCUACGGGAGGCAGCAGUGAGGAAUAUUGGACAAUGGGUGAGAGCCUGAUCCAGCCAUCCCGCGUGAAGGACUAAGGCCCUAUGGGUUGUAAACUUCUUUUAUACUGGAAUAAACCUGCUUACGUGUAAGUAGCUGAAGGUACAGUAUGAAUAAGCACCGGCUAACUCCGUGCCAGCAGCCGCGGUAAUACGGAGGGUGCAAGCGUUAUCCGGAUUUAUUGGGUUUAAAGGGUCCGUAGGCGGAUCCGUAAGUCAGUGGUGAAAUCUCAUACCUUAACUAUGAAAACUGCCAUUGAUACUGCGGGUCUUGAGUGAGAUUGAGGUAGCUGGAAUAAGUAGUGAAGCGGUGAAAUGCAUACAUAUUACUUA